rnacentral:lncRNA from 1 species
AGGGGUGUGUAGGAGGUCGGGAAUCGGAGAGGACAGACCCGACCCUUUCGAGGGAGAAGACAGGUCAAGGAGAGAGGAAAGAGAAAGAGCCGCUAUAGAGUGGGGCUGCGGGCCAGGUGGAGUAGGAACCGCUGUUGUCAGGGGAAGCUAGAAGAAAAAGAAGGGGUCGAUAAGGAAAGGGGGGCUGGAGUGGAGGGAGGAGAAACCAGCUGAGACUGGGAGACUGAGGGUGGAGAGAGGAAAGGAAGAGGAGACUGCGGGAAGGGGAAAGGAGAGAGGAACCACAGAAGGAAGAGAGAACAAGAGUGAUCUCCGAGUGGAGACAAAUAGAAAA